GGUUGAUCCUGCCAGAAGUCAUAUGCUUGUCUCAAAGAUUAAGCC
rnacentral:rRNA from 1 species